AGUAGAUGAAUGCACACUGUUUAUACUGUAAUUCUAAGCAUCAACACAAUGGAUCCACAGUUGCUAGCAUACAUAAUUUAAUGUUAAAUAUGGGUUAGAGUAGGCUGUGGCAUAGCACAGGUGAUUAGUAGCUCACGCAUCUUCUUUCACCGGGUUCCAUCCCAGAAAAUGCCUCUUAAUAUUUGUGACGGACAAAGUGGCACUGGGCAGGGUUUUCUCUGUGUGCUCCAGUUUCUCCUACCAGUUCUCAUUCCACCAUUUGCCCCACACCUGCUAUAUAUUUCAGAGAAUUUCCGCAAGCUUUUUUGAAUUAAUAUCCUAUUUUUCGUAUAUUCGGGAGCCAGUACGUGUAGUUACUUUGAUUGCACUCAUCUAAACAGGCAGUGAAAUAAUGCUGUGGGUUUUACGGGGUUGCCAUGCUCAUUUAAAGAGAAGAAUUGACAUUACUGUAACAAGUGAGAUAUUUGGAGUGUAAAUGUGCAUUUGUGUAGCAUUCUCAUGUUUUAUUUAUUAUUUUUCAGGUUUGAUAACAUGGCCUUUCCUCCAUGUUAUUGGAAGAUUAAACGUAAAUUUCAGAAAAGCAAUAAUUGAUGCAUAACCUCUAGCUAGUCUCUAAGUAGCUCACUACAAGACAAAAACAAUUUUGGCUAAAUGAUGUACUGAAUUGUUUUCUGAGAGAGAGAUUCAUUCAAAUUUCGACGAAGGGACUUGGAAAAUAAUAAAUUUCCAUAUAUUUAGAAAGCUGGAGCGAGCGUGUAUUGUGGCAACAGGCAUCAUUGUAACAGGUUAUUUUCUUUACUUCGUGCUGGAACCAACAGACAGAAAAGCUACUCAAAAUAUUUUAUGAGAAUUGUUCGUGCGCUU